UUUUUAGUUGCCAGCACGUGAUGGUGGGGACUCAUAGGAGACUGCCGGGGUCAACUCGGAGGAAGGUGGGGAUGACGUCAAAUCAUCAUGCCCCUUACGUCUUGGGCUUCACGCAUGCUACAAUGGCCAGUACAAAGGGCUGCGAUACCGUAAGGUGGAGCGAAUCCCAAAAAACUGGUCUCAGUUCGGAUUGGGGUCUGCAACUCGACCCCAUGAAGUCGGAGUCGCUAGUAAUCGCAGAUCAGCAACGCUGCGGUGAAUACGUUCCCGGGCCUUGUACACACCGCCCGUCAAGUCACGAAAGUCGGUAACACCCGAAGCCGGUGGCCCAACCCCUUGUGGGAGGGAGCUGUCGAAGGUGGGACUGGUGAUUGGGACUAAGUCGUAACAAGGUAACC
rnacentral:rRNA from 1 species